rnacentral:sRNA from 1 species
UGCGGAGGAUCAUUACUGAACUGUCAACACGAGUUGUUGCUGGUCCUCAAAUGGGGGCAUGUGCACACUCUGUUCACACAUCCACUCACACCUGUGCACUCUCCGUGGUUCUAUGGCCUGGGGACUCUGUCCUCUUGCUGUGGUUCUACGUCUUUACACAUACACACCGUAAUAAAGUCUCAUGGAAUGCAUACCGCGUUUAACGCAAUACAAUACAACUUUCAGCAACGGAUCUCUUGGCUCUCGCAUCGAUGAAGAACGCAGCGAAAUGCGAUAAGUAAUGUGAAUUGCAGAAUUCAGUGAAUCAUCGAAUCUUUGAACGCACCUUGCGCCCUUUGGCUAUUCCGAAGGGCAUGCCUGUUUGAGUAUCAUGAACACCUCAACUCUCAUGGUUUACCAUGAUGAGCUUGGACUUUGGGGGUCUUGCUGGCCAGUGGUCAGCUCCUCUCAAAUGAAUCAGCUUGCCAGUGUUUGGUGGCAUCAUGGGUGUGAUAACUAUCUACGCUUGUGGUUUUCCGCCAGGUAUCCUUCAGCAAUGGAGGUUCGCUGGAGCUUACAAAUGUCUCUCCCCAGUGAGGACAACUUCUCAAAUGUUUGAUCUCAAAUCAGGUAGGACUACCCGCUGAACUUAAGCAUAUCAAUAA